CCGGUAGGGGGUGUGCAAGAAUCGGCUGAUCAAUGAUUCUCUCUCAUCAUUGGCGUUUCUUUCUCUCCCUUUCCCUUCCUCUCUGAAAUCGGUAAAAAUAUAUUUUAAAAAAAUUAAUUUAAUCAGGAAAUUUUCUGUAUCAUGUUUUCAGUUUUGAGAAUGAUAAAAAGCUUUGUAAACACCCUACCUGAUUUGAAUCUGCAUUAGCCAAUUUGACCUCAAUAUUCACUGGACAUGUCAGUUUUGAUCCUGUCUCAGAACCUUUGCACUUGCUCUCCCCUCUGUCCAUACUGUUUUCCCCCAAAUAGACCAAUGUCUUCCCUCUUUACUUCCUUCAGAUCUUUAUUCAAAUGUCUCCUCAGUGAGAUCUUCCUGAUUAUUCUAAAAUGCCAAAACACACACACUUCCCAACUUCCUUGCUUUAUUUUUAUUCUUACUCAAUUGGCUCUUUAACAUACUAUAUAUUGUAACUAUUUUUUGUUGUCCCCCUCAAUGUAUAUAAGCUCCAUGGGGCUAGAAAUUUCUGUCUAUUUUGUCCCCUGAAGUACCUUCAGUGCCUCACACAGUGCCUGGCACCUAGUAAACACAAUGGUUUCUUGUUGAAUGAAUGUAUGAGCACUAAAAAUAUAAUAGUUCAGGUGGCUGGAGCCAAGAGAGUC